rnacentral:rRNA from 1 species
UACGUAGGGUGCGAGCGUUAAUCGGAAUUACUGGGCGUAAAGCGUGCGCAGGCGGCUUGCCAAGUCAGAUGUGAACGCCCCGGGCUCAACCCGGGAAUGGCGUUUGAAACUGGCAGGCUAGAGUUUGGCAGAGGGGGGUGGAAUUCCACGUGUAGCAGUGAAAUGCGUAGAGAUGUGGAGGAACACCGAUGGCGAAGGCAGCCCCCUGGGCCAAAACUGACGCUCAGGCACGAAAGCGUGGGGAGCAAACAGG